ACGCUGGCGGCGUGCCUAAUACAUGCAAGUCGAGCGAAGUUUUUCUGGUGCUUGCACUAGAAAAACUUAGCGGCGAACGGGUGAGUAACACGUAAAGAACCUGCCUCAUAGACGGGGACAACUAUUGGAAACGAUAGCUAAUACCGGAUAACAGCAUAAAUCGCAUGAUAUGUGUUUAAAAGUUGGUUUCGGCUAACACUAUGAGAUGGCUUUGCGGUGCAUUAGCUAGUUGGUGGGGUAAAGGCCUACCAAGGCGACGAUGCAUAGCCGACCUGAGAGGGUGAUCGGCCACACUGGGACUGAGACACGGCCCAGACUCCUACGGGAGGCAGCAGUAGGGAAUCUUCCGCAAUGGGCGAAAGCCUGACGGAGCAACNCCGCGUGAGUGAAGAAGGAUUUCGGUUCGUAAAGCUCUGUUGUUAGGGAAGAAUGAUUGUAUGUAACUAUAUACAGUAGAGACGUACCUAACCAGAAAGCC
rnacentral:rRNA from 1 species